rnacentral:rRNA from 1 species
CCUACGGGAGGCAGCAGUGAGGAAUUUUGCGCAAUGGGGGCAACCCUGACGCAGCAACGCCGCGUGAGUGAAGAAGGCCUUUGGGUCGUAAAGCUCUGUCAACAGGGAAGAAGUUAGUAUCUAUUAAUAGUGGAUUCUAUUGACGGUACCUGUGGAGGAAGCGCCGGCUAACUCCGUGCCAGCAGCCGCGGUAACACGGGGGGCGCAAGCGUUAUUCGGAAUUAUUGGGCGUAAAGGGCGCGUAGGCGGUCUUGUCCGUCAGGUGUGAAAGCCCGGGGCUCAACCCCGGAAGUGCACUUGAAACAGCAAGACUUGAAUACGGGAGAGGAAAGCGGAAUUCCUGGUGUAGAGGUGAAAUUCGUAGAUAUCAGGAGGAACACCGAUGGCGAAGGCAGCUUUCUGGACCGAUAUUGACGCUGAGGCGCGAAGGCGUGGGUAGC